GAUGAAGAACGUAGUGAAAUGCGAUAAGUAAUGUGAAUUGCAGAAUUCAGUGAACCAUCGAAUCUUUGAACGCACAUUGCGCCCGCCAGUAUUCUGGCGGGCAUGCCUGUCCGAGCGUCAUUUCAACCCUCAAGCCCCCGGGCUUGGUGUUGGAGAUCGGCGAGCCCCCCGGGGCGCGCCGUCUCCCAAAUAUAGUGGCGGUCCCGCUGUAGCUUCCUCUGCGUAGUAGCACACCUCGCACUGGGAAACAGCGUGGCCACGCCGUAAAACCCCCCACUUCUGAAAGGUUGACCUCGGAUCAGGUAGGAAUACCCGCUGAACUUAAGCAUAUCAAUAAGCGGAGGA
rnacentral:misc_RNA from 1 species